UUUCUAAUAUAUCUUUUUUUGAAGUUGAUUAAAAAUAUGUAUUUUACAACUGAUUUCCCAUUGGAAAAAAUAUGCUGCCCUAUUUCAGUACAGAACCUCCGGUGGUGGUGCUUUUGAGAUGGUUCUCCAGCUAUCAGAGCAUGAUCUGGUUGCACAUGGGGCUGACUGGGAAUUAGCACUAGAAUUAGCACUCCUCUUGCCUACCUCCACCUGCAGCAGCCCGCAACUCCACUGGCACAAACGUUUGGAUGGAGAUGGAGCGCGUGUGUUCCGACACCUAAAGUUAGUAAUUUGACUUCAGCCUGUCCCUGAACCAAGAGAAGCAGCUGAGAACAUCAGUGCUCUGUGCAAGCCCUCACUCCCCAGAAGAAGAAGGGAAGAGCUGAGGCAAGCACCUGAGGGCUAUUCUUCCCAAAGUCACUAAUCAGGUAAGUCCCUCAUCUCCACUAAAACCAGGAGUGUUGCAGCUAUUGGAGAUUCCUACUCCAGGAAGAAAACAUUAGAUAUGGAAAAGAAGCAUAUAUGCAACCAAUUAAAAUGUAUCAAUUCAUGUAAGGAUAAAAAGAAAAGAAGUAGCUUCUUCUGUAUCUUUCCAGAAGUAUUCUUUCUAUAUAUAAGAAAAUAUACAUCUAUCCCUUACGUCGUCCUUGUUUUAACAUAUAGUAGCAUUCUAUACAUACAUAAUUUAUUUCACACUUUGUUCUACAUCUUAAAGAGUUUGAUUCUUUUCCAUUGCUUCAGAGUAUUUCAUUGUAUGACUGUACU
rnacentral:lncRNA from 1 species